AAACUAGGUAUUGCUGCAAAAUCUAUGAAGUACCUAUUGGAAGCUCUAUGUGCUUUUAACAUCCAGUUGUCAGGUAGAACCAGCCUUCAUCUGACUAGCAGAGGUUCCUCUGUUUUGUUUCUGCACUGGUCUAGAUCCCUGGGUCUGCUUGUAGCUACCAAUACCCACCUGUUACAUAGAGGUAUGAGGCACCAAGUUGUAAGUAACUCCAUGCAGAGCGUUUCUUGUAUCUGUUUUACCUGAGGAUGAUGUUUAAAAGUUAAAUGAGCAGGUAACUUUAAUAGCUUUCUUAUUUGCUUAAGGGACUUCUGGAUGCUUUAAAGUAAUGCAUCUGUUUUGUAAAAAGUUCAGUAUAGGAGACAUUGUCCACAAUGCUUGUCUGACUGGAAUUCGUAUCUUCAUCCUGUAGAUUGAAAGCAGAAAUGCCUGUGUUCAGGAAAGGUGUUUGGUAGCUGUGUCGACUGGAAGUUACAGAAAUUUAUUGAGACAGUUGUUACCAGCUUGUUUUGUUGGAGAUGCCAGUUAAGCCUUCAGCCUCUAGAAAGAGCCACAGACUUAAUUACUGUUAAACAAAAUACUGUGUGGUUUUCUGCAGUUGUAGUAGGCAGAAAGCUUCAUAUUCUUUCUGGUCUGAAAGAAUUGUUUCUAAGCUUUAUUUCUUCCCUUUAGUAAAUAAUUCAAGUGAGAAUUUCAGUUACCUCUAUCUCAGAGCAGUUGACAGGCUUUCUGCAUUUUGGUGGGGUGCUUUCUUCUUUUCAGAUUUAAGUCAGGUGUUUACCAUGUGGAAUGUUAUUUCAGCAUUCAUUCAAAUCUGCGAACAGUAUUAACCAGGGAAACAAAGCAGUAUUUUUCUGAAUGCUAGGUGUUCCUUAAGAUCUUGAAUUGACAUAACUUACACAUCAGCAAGUUGAUGUGAACAUUCAGAAGUGUUGUUUCCAUGAACUGGAAGUCUGUUAGUCUUGCUAUCUGGAAAUUUUCAGAGAUUAUAGAAAGCUAACUCAAGUUACAAAAGACAAAUAUCUGCAGCACGUUUACUGUCUUUUUCUUUCUACACUUGAGAGUUUUUAGUAUUAUCCUGGAUUACUUUCCUUCUAGAAGUAUCUAAUCUUGAGCAUGUCCAAUGUUUAGCAGUCUCUUACAUCUUUAAUUGAAUCCAAAUGUGAUUUUUCUGUUCGCAUUGGUAGUGGAGUUGAACAUUGGCAGUACCACAACCCAGUAGAUUUGCGGAGUUUAUCUUUGCAGAUAGUGAAAUUUAAGAGGAGCACCCCUGAUUUGUGGACAUCAGGCGUAAUUGUGACUAUGUUAAUGGGACUGAAAUUUGAAAAACAUGAAGAUAAUUAAGAAUUUCAGAAUUGGUAGGUUUGGGGAGGGAGGAUAGAAAAGUAGGCUGUGGGAAGAAUAACAACUUUGUUUUUUAAAUUUCCAUUCAGAACUAUGUUAGACUGAUUCUAGAUUAUUGCCGGUGAUAACGCCUAAGAAAAUUCUCUUUUCUCCAGGGUUCCUGGACUUCAUCCUUGGCACAUUUUAUGUUGUUUAUCUUUCCUUAUUUCAAAGGACCUGGGCUCCUGUUGAAAAGUGACGGAAUAAUCUCUGGCCAGCACCUGCCAUGUUGAGGGAGCACCCCUAAAAGAGCUUGCCUGCGAGAGAGUUUGUGAAAUAACGCAGUAACAUGUUCGCAGUAACCAGCAUGUUUUGGAAAUUUGACCUCCAUUCGUCAUCCCACAUAGAUACACUUCUAGAGAGAGAAGAUGUAACACUGAAGGAAUUGAUGGAUGAAGAGGAUGUUCUGCAAGAGUGCAAGGCUCAGAAUCGCAAACUUAUAGAUUUUCUGCUGAAGUUAGAAUGUUUGGAAGACUUAGUUUCAUUUAUUAUCGAAGAGCCACCUCAAGACAUGGAUGAACAAAUUCGAUAUAAAUAUCCAAACAUAUCGUGUGAGCUGCUUACAUCAGAUGUCUCACAGAUCAAUGAUAGGCUGGGAGAAGAAGAAUCCUUACUUAUGAAACUGUACAGCUUCCUCCUGAAUGAAUCUCCUCUAAACCCUUUACUGGCCAGUUUCUUCAGCAAGGUGCUAAGUAUUCUAAUAAGCAGAAAACCAGAAGAGAUUGUGGAUUUUUUAAAGAAGAAACAUGAUUUUGUAGACCUCAUUAUUAAGCACAUAGGGACCUCUGCUAUCAUGGACUUGCUGCUCAGGCUACUGACUUGCAUAGAACCUCCGCAGCCUCGGCAAGAAGUGUUAAAUUGGCUAAAUGAGGAGCGAAUCAUCCAGAGGCUUGUGGAAAUUGUACAUCCAUCUCAAGAUGAAGAUAGGCAUUCAAAUGCAUCACAGUCACUCUGUGAAAUUAUUCGUUUAAGCAGAGACCAGAUGUUGCAAGUACAGAACAGUUCAGAACCGGAUCCACUGCUUGCAAGUCUAGAGAAGCAAGAAAUCAUAGAGCAGCUGCUAUCUAAUAUUUUUCAUAAAGAAAAAAAUGAAUCUGCAAUAGUCAGUGCAAUCCAAAUACUAUUGACCUUACUUGAGACAAGACGACAGACAUUUGAAGGCCAUAUAGAGAUCUGUCCUCCUGGCAUGAGCAAUUCAAAAUAUUCAGUCAAUAAAAGUGUUUUAGAAGCCAUAAAAGCACGACUUUCAUCCUUCCAUGAACUCCUACUUGAGCCUCCAAAAAAAAGUGUCAUGAAGACAACCUGGGGUGUGUUGGAUCCACCUGUGGGAAACACGCGUUUAAAUGUGAUUAGAUUAAUAUCUAGCCUUCUACAGACGAAUACAAGCAGUGUGAAUCAGGAACUUAUAGAGCUUAACAGCAUAGGAGUAAUACUGGACAUGUUCUUUAAGUACACAUGGAAUAACUUUUUGCAUACACAAGUAGAAAUUUGUAUUGCAUUGAUUCUUGCAAAUCCUCUUGAAAGCACAGAAAAUGGCACAAUUACAGAUCAGGAUUCCACUGGGGACAAUCUCUUGCUGAAACAUCUCUUCCUUAAGUGCCAAUUAAUAGAACGAAUACUUGAAGCAUGGGAGAUGAAUGAGAAGAAACAGGCUGAAGGAGGAAGACGCUAUGGCUAUAUGGGUCAUCUGACACGGAUAGCAAACUGCAUUGUGCACAGUACAGAUAAGGGGCCAAACAGUACACAAGUUCAGCAGCUCAUUAAAGAGCUUCCAGAGGAGGUCAGAGAGCGAUGGGAGACAUUCUGCACAAACUCUUUAGGAGAAACUAACAAGAGGAAUACAGUGGACCUGGUUACUACCUGCCACAUUCAUUCUUCCAGUGAUGAUGAAAUUGACUUUAAAGAAACUGGCUUUUCACAGGAUUCUUCUUUGCAGCAGGCCUUUUCUGAUUAUCAGAUGCAACAAAUGACGUCCAAUUUUAUUGACCAGUUUGGCUUCAACGAUGAGAAGUUUGCUGAUCAAGAUGACAUCGGCAAUGUUUCUUUUGAUCGGGUCUCAGACAUCAACUUUACCCUCAAUACGAAUGAAAGUGGCAAUAUAGCCUUGUUUGAGGCAUGCUGUAAGGAGCGGAUACAGCAGUUUGAUGAUGGUGGCUCUGAUGAAGAAGACAUUUGGGAAGAAAAACAUAUUGCAUUUACACCAGAGUCUCAGAGGCGUUCCAGUUCGGGCAGCACUGACAGUGAAGAAAGUACAGAUUCUGAAGAAGAGGAUGGAACAAAACAGGACUUGUUUGAAUCACACACCAAUACAGAGGACAAAAUGGAAGUAGACUUAAGUGAACCACCAAACUGGUCAGCUAACUUUGAUGUACCCAUGGAGACAGCACAUGGUGCCAGUCUGGAUUCUGUUGGGUCUGAUGUGUGGAGUACUGAAGAACCUAUGCCAGCAAAAGAAACUGGUUGGGUUUCCUUUUCUGAGUUUGCAUCCUCUUUGAGCUCAAAAGAUUCCUUAAGAAGUAAUUCUCCUGUGGAAAUGGAAACAAACACAGACCCAGUUGAUCCCUUGGGUGCAAAUGUAACUGCUCUUGCAACACACCUAGAGACCCCAGGAAGUGUUGCCAUGGAGGCCAGCUCAGAUGGAGAGGACGAUAUAGAAAAUGCAGACAAGGUAACUGAAACAGUAAUGAACGGCAGCAUGAAGGAGACACUGAGCCUUACUGUAGAUGCUAAAACUGAAACGGCUGUUUUCAAAAGAGUGUUGAAAUCCUAUCGUGAGGAAGGAAAAUUGUCUACCUCGCAGGAAGCUUCUUGUAAAUAUGUAGUAGAAGAGAAUGCAGAGGUUACAGAAGAGGCUUCUUCAGCUCUGCAGCCUACUAACAGCAGUCCAGAACAGAGUGCUUUUAGAGCUUAGCAGCCAAAGACUUAGCUAGGGGACUCCUGCUGGUCAUGUGCAUGUAGAGCACGGACCCACGAGUGGCUUCUCUGUGAUGUGCACCAUCAGAGAACAGGAGUUACAGGACUGAUCAGCACACCCAUUUAGGAGAGGCAUCUGUUAAUGGCCCUGUAUGAUGUGUGAUGUCUGCUACCUUGGCUGAAGAAAAUGAACUGAUAUCCAGGUGUUUGAGUGUUUCUUUGAGGAUUUCAUCUAGACCCUGUUGAAGCCAGUCACUGCUGCACUAAUUUCGCAAGGGAUCAGGACCAGCAACAUUUAUAUUCUAGAUUUUAAGACAUUGUACAGAAAUUCAUAAGUGUAAAAAUAUUGCACAUUGAGAAAUACCAAUAAUUUUUGCGUAUGUUUAUAUUGUAUUGUUCUAAAUAAUGGGUGGCCUGUGAAAUAAGAUCCUGCUACCCACGUAAUGAUGACAGUAGUGUUACUAUAGUUAAAAUGGCUGUAAGAAUAGUUUUAUAAAAAAAGUGAAUACACAAAUCUAAUGUAUUUGAGACAUUACUAUUUGAUGAUUAGUGUGACCAAAGUAUUUAGCAGUUUUCAUACAUUUUUCACCUUGUAAAAAGAAAAGAAAAAAAUUAAUUCAUGUUUCUUCUGAAACUGAAAUGCCCUAUAAAUGUUAUUUUGGUUGGUCUAGCUUACAAAAGUGAUUUACAUAAGAAUUUUUUGGUGUUCAACAUUUUACAAGAGGUUUUUUAAUCGGUAAUUGUUUUCUGUAUUGUUCAGAACAGAUCAAAAAUGUAAGUCUAUUGGUAGAGAUUUUAAGUAUUUAUUGCUACAACUUAGUUGACAAAUUGAUGUUACUGUAAAGCCAUAUGUUCUGUUAAGUCUUGUUUGCUUGAAACAAUACCUUACAGGUGAAACACUAGAAUAUUUGAAAUGCACAUGGCUUGUUGUGUUUGUGAUUCACCUGCCUUUUAACCCAUUCACCAAGAUUUAGUUUAAUACCAAGCAUUAUCCAAUGGAACAUUUCAGAACAAUCUGCGUAUUUAAAACGCUAUAAACCUUUUAGACAAGUCAAAUAAAUGAAAUGCCUGUGCUGCUAAUGCAAUUACAGUACAUGCAUUUUGAAAGUAUAUAGUGUUUUUAAUACAAAUUUUGGCAGCAGAGCAUGUUAAUUGUUACUUUCACUGUACUGAUCUGUGUGAGGCUUUCAUUUGUAUGUUCUAAACCAGUUUUUUCUCAGCUGGUUUGUGUAUAUAUAUAUAGUGAUUAUGGAAACUAAUUCUGUGUAAUUUAUAAUUUUCUAUGUCAGUAUAAAAUUCCAACAGCCUUCUCAAACAAACAGAAGCAAUAUAGUGUGUAUUGCCACCUUGUCUGGUGAAAGGGUUAAAGUACUUCGCCUCCUGCACUUUUAGAUGCAAAUCAUUUUUUUUGUUUCUGUAAUAGUUAUAUUCAUUUAUUUUUUACAUCAUUUGUUUUCCUGACCAGUAUUUAAAGCCAAAAGGAUACUCUAAACAAUGGCCAAUGAUUUAUUUUAGAAGGCAUCCCGAGCAACGUGCCUAAACAUUACAUUGCAUACAGAAAUAAUAAACAAACAAAAC